GAACGCACAUUGCGCCCCCUGGUAUUCCGGGGGGCAUGCCUGUCCGAGCGUCAUUGCUGCCCUCAAGCACGGCUUGUGUGUUGGGCCCCCGCCCCCCGGUCCCGGGGGGCGGGCCCGAAAGGCAGCGGCGGCACCGCGUCCGGUCCUCGAGCGUAUGGGGCUUUGUCACCCGCUCUGUAGGCCCGGCCGGCGCCCGCCGGCGACCCCAAUCAAUCUUUUUCAGGUUGACCUCGGAUCAGGUAGGGAUACCCGCUGAACUUAAG
rnacentral:misc_RNA from 1 species